UGGUGUGUGAGGGUGUCGACAGGAGCAAGAGAAAGAGAGGGGAAACCCUCCAACUUAACCAAAUCAGUAAAAUUGAAAGGGAAAUUGAAGCUUGAUUGUAUGCAUGAACACAAAUUCUCCAUCAUCUAAGUGUGCUUAACAUAAAGGAUAUGAACAAUAUUAGCGGACUCAAGCAUGGAGAGCUAACGAGUCAAGAUGAGGCAAGGAAACAAAUACGAAUACGGACGCAUAAGGUAAGUGAGUCUGAUUCACUUCUUAGUAUAUACAUAGAAUUUUCAUGUUUAUGAAUGUGGAGAAAUCAUGAAAGGUUGUGUAAGGAAUGAGAGUAUUAAGAUAAGUAUGGACUUACUUAGACGAAGGUAGAAUUCUAAGACGAAGGUAAAUUGUUGGAAUUAAACGGGUCGAAUAAAUGCGCAUAGGUAAUGUAACGGAAAUGAAAUUUGUAAAGAUUAAGGACCCAGGGUAAGGAUUUUUAGUCAGUUACAUAGGAAAAUGUUUUAUGGACAAUUAAAAACAAGUUUCAAGUGAAAUGGAUGCAAAACGAACAAGUUAUGCGAGUUUUAUUAUUAAAAUGGGGAGCUGAUCUGGGCACCACCGUAGCUUACGGUGCCCACCGUAGGCUACGGUGGGUGCUGAAACUUUUCUUCUGCCAUAGGGCAGUCCCUUCUCACCGUAGAAACUUUAAGGGCCACCGUAGGCUACGGCAGCCACCGUAGCUUACGGUGGACGUCAGGUGCAAAAUGUAAAGUUAUGCAUUUCUUUGUUUUUCUUUGAUUUCGGACCUCGUGAACCUGUCCCAAGCCCCGAUAAGCUUCUAUAAUGAACCUCAGCCCUACCAAAUGGCUUGAUAAGCUACGGGUGAGUACGUAACUCAUCUUUAAGAUCCGAAAUGUACCCGAAAUCACUUAAAAAGCGUUUAGGAAGCGUGAGUAAGAAUGGGGUGUGUAAGCGAGUGUGCGGGGAAAUGAAAUUAAGUUUGUGGGCUAGUAUGUAUAGGUUCAAUUUCAUUUCAAUAUGUGAAACUUUUAAGUAAUUAUAAAUAGGAGUAAGUAUGUAUGUAAGUUGUUCACUCAUGUUUUAUUACUCGGAGGUUGUAAUUAGGACACGUCAGUAAACCACUUUGAAUUAAACCACAUUGAAUUGGGUAAGUGCUACGUAUGAGCCUGUAUAUAUGUACGUAUGCAAGGGUGUAUGUAUUAGAUGACUCACUACAAAAAAAAAUAAGCCAUUUUGUUGCACACAUUUUUAAUGGCAUAUAGGUUUUGUGCCACUAAUUUUUGUUUUUAAUGGCACUUUAAGUAUUUAACACAUACAUUUAAUGGCAUUUAACUUUUAUGUUACUAAUCAAGGUUUUUAGUGGCAUUUUGCAUAUGCCACCAAAAUUUUCUGUAUGUUUUAAUGGCACUUUUCCUGUGCCACAAAAAUUUUGGAACAACCUGUUUAAAAUUUUCACCAAUUCUCUUUCAUCAAAAAUCAAUUUCCCUCCCCCAAAUAAUUUCAUAUUCCCGCUCAACAAAUUAAGCGGACAUAUAAAAACAAAUUGCGCUCUCAAAAUUACAAUUACUAGGGUUUAUCUCUACUAAUUCGCGCUCAAAUCUUCUCUCUCAAGUAAACCUCCUCACGUUCUCCGAUUCCUUACUCUACCGCAUCUCCGCCGUUCUCCACCUGAUCUCCGACGUUCUCCACCGAAUCUCCGUGGUUCUUCACCAGAUGAACCGAUUACAAUAAAGUAUAUGCUCUGUUCAAUUUGAUUUGUGCCCUAAUUUGUGUGAACAUGCUAUAUAAUUAUGAAUAAUAUAGUAACACAUUUGGAAUCUAAAGCCCUAGCUUAUAUUUCAUAAUUGGACACCUACCGGUUAGGUUUUUUCAUGCUCUAAUGGUUAUAUGGUAGUCAGUUUGAGUAAUUGUUGAUUUGUUUUUUUUUUUGCUGAAGAUGCUUAUAAUUAGGGCUUAGGCGUUCUAUACGGAGUCAGUGACACGAUUUCAUAAUCUGGAUAGAUUACGUGGCGUAUUUACUCUUAUAUCAACAGGUUAAAGCUACAGUUUUAUUAUAUAUAAAGUUUUGUGGAUCGAAGAUUUUGUUUGUUUGUAGUGAAAUGGGAAAAAAUGGAUCGGUGAUUGUGUCGUUUGUCUUAUUGUUCAUCGUUUUUGGUCCAUUUGAUGCGAGCAAUUCGAGGAAAUUAGUUACAAUUCAGGAUCUAAACGGCAGUUCUAACGCAAAUCAGAGCCGGCAAAACGAGCGGGUCGGGUCGGCCAGGUGAUUGGUCACUAGUCACGGGGUUCGGGUCAGUAUGAGUUCGGGUUAGGACAUGUUUGAGCAAAGGGUACUUCAGAAGCAAAAUGGUACCUGAAAUUACUGGCAUUACAUGUCUCACACUUGCAAUAAGGAUUGAAGAAAACCAGCUCUACAACAGGUAUGUUUUUUUAACAACCGAAGUUUGGGUUGUGAAAGCAAGAUGAAAACUUCGGACACCCUGCUACUGGACACUGCAGGUCCCGAUUUGUCUAACUUUACAAAUCCGGCAGCAGAGGCGGUGACUGCGACUCUGUAAAGCCAUUUCACAUGCCAAGCCAAUGUAACCGAAAUUGAAAGAGCUUGGUGUUAGGAAUUUCGGAGUCGCAAGGUUGAUUUGCUUUGGGUUUGUAUAAAGUUGAAUAUAGUGAAUUGGCUGGUGCGGUGACAGUAAGAAGUAAGUGCAGGGAACAACUAUGAAGUGGGAAAUACGAUUACGAAGAAAGAGUUAACACAAUGAAUAUUUUACUCGAAUGAAGAUUGUUAAAAAGAUUCAUGAACGCAAUGGAGUUUUGAGUUCUUGUUCAAACAUUUUUUGAAUAUUGGUUUUGUAUGUUCGAUAUUUAGACUUAGGUUGACAUUUAUUAGUUAUUUCUUUGCAAACAUUUGGAAUCUUUGGAAGAUGAUUGAUUGAACUUUUUAAUUGAAUUGAUUA
rnacentral:lncRNA from 1 species